GGUUUUCUUUACUCUCGCUGUUUUCUCACUCUUUUUCUGGCUUGAGGGAGAAACGGGGCUGAGAAGACUUGUAGGGUAUCAAAAACC
rnacentral:pre_miRNA from 1 species